UGAGUGUGUGUGUGUGUGUGUGUGUGUGUGUGUGCGAUUCUAUGACAUUAUAAGGACAACAUUUUUUUUAAAAAAUUAAUAAAUACAUGUUGCAGUCCUCAAAAACUCACAGGUGAGUUAGUCACCACACACACACACACACGCACACACACGCACG
rnacentral:miRNA from 14 species